rnacentral:rRNA from 1 species
GACGAACGCUGGCGGCGUGCUUAACACAUGCAAGUCGAACGGAAAGGCCCCUUUGGGGGUACUCGAGUGGCGAACGGGUGAGUAACACGUGAGUAACCUGCCCUUGACUUCGGGAUAACUUCAGGAAACUGGGGCUAAUACCGGAUAGGAAUCCUUGCUGCAUGGUGGGGGUUGGAAAGCUUCGGCGGUUUUGGAUGGACUCGCGGCUUAUCAGCUUGUUGGUGGGGUAGUGGCUUACCAAGGCUUUGACGGGUAGCCGGCCUGAGAGGGCGACCGGCCACAUUGGGACUGAGAUACGGCCCAGACUCCUACGGGAGGCAGCAGUGGGGAAUAUUGCACAAGGGGCGGAAGCCUGAUGCAGUAACGCCGCGUGCGGGAGGACGGCCUUCGGGUUGUAAACCGCUUUCAGCAGGGGCGAAGCUUGUGGUGACGGUACCUGCAGAAGAAGCACCGGCUAACUACGUG